rnacentral:rRNA from 1 species
UUGACCUCGGAUCAGGUAGGAAUACCCGCUGAACUUAAGCAUAUCAAUAAGCGGAGGAAAAGAAACCAACAGGGAUUGCCCUAGUAACGGCGAGUGAAGCGGCAACAGCUCAAAUUUGAAAUCUGGCGCUUGCGUCCGAGUUGUAAUUUGUAGAGGAUGCUUUUGGCGCGGUGCCUUCCGAGUUCCCUGGAACGGGACGCCAUAGAGGGUGAGAGCCCCGUACGGUUGGACACUAAGCCUCUGUAAAGCUCCUUCGACGAGUCGAGUAGUUUGGGAAUGCUGCUCUAAAUGGGAGGUAAAUUUCUUCUAAAGCUAAAUACCGGCCAGAGACCGAUAGCGCACAAGUAGAGUGAUCGAAAGAUGAAAAGCACUUUGAAAAGAGGGUUAAAUAGCACGUGAAAUUGUUAAAAGGGAAGGGUUUAUGACCAGACUUGUGCCUGGCGGAUCAUCCGGUGUUCUCACCGGUGCACUUCGCCUGGUUCAGGCCAGCAUCGGUUUUCGUAGGGGGAUAAAGGCUUUGGGAAUGUAGCUCCCCUCGGGGAGUGUUAUAGCCCAUUGUGUAAUACCCUUAUGGGGACCGAGGUUCGCGCUCUGCAAGGAU